UGGUGAAUUAGCAACAGUCUACUGUUUCUUCACAGAACAGAAGUACUGGCAACAGCAAUGCAAGAUUCCCCACACUGAAUCACAAAAAUGCCUCAAACUGGUGCAGGAGGACUAUUUCUAAUGAUGAAAAGGUAGUUCACUUUCACACUGUUCUUGACUUCU
rnacentral:sRNA from 1 species